rnacentral:pre_miRNA from 1 species
AGAGGAGGAGCAGCAGGGUGAAACUGACAGUUAUGGUGAGUUUCACUUUGCUGCUCCUCCCGA